GUUUUAAUAAUUUAAAUAAAAUAUUGGUCUUGUAAACCAAAAAUAAGUAUUAUCUUUUAAAAUA
rnacentral:tRNA from 1 species